rnacentral:rRNA from 1 species
GAUGAACGCUGGCGGCGUGCCUAAUACAUGCAAGUCGAGCGAACGGACGAGAAGCUUGCUUCUCCGAUGUUAGCGGCGGACGGGUGAGUGACACGUGGAUAACCUACCUAUAAGACUGGGAUAACUUCGGGAAACCGGAGCUAAUACCGGAUAAUAUUUUGAACCGCAUGGUUCAAAAGUGAAAGACGGUCUUGCUGUCACUUAUAGAUGGAUCCGCGCUGCAUUAGCUAGUUGGUAAGGUAACGGCUUACCAAGGCAACGAUGCAUAGCCGACCUGAGAGGGUGAUCGGCCACACUGGAACUGAGACACGGUCCAGACUCCUACGGGAGGCAGCAGUAGGGAAUCUUCCGCAAUGGGCGAAAGCCUGACGGAGCAACGCCGCGUGAGUGAUGAAGGUCUUCGGAUCGUAAAACUCUGUUAUUAGGGAAGAACAUAUGUGUAAGUAACUGUGCACAUCUUGACGGUACCUAAUCAGAAAGCCACGGCUAACUACGUG